rnacentral:rRNA from 1 species
GAACUUCCGUUAUUGAUUAUGACGUACUUGUACUGAUUGAGAUUUUAACACGAAGUGAGUGGCGAACGGGUGAGUAACACGUGGGUAACCUGCCCAGAAGUAGGGGAUAACACCUGGAAACAGAUGCUAAUACCGUAUAACAGAGAAAACCGCAUGGUUUUCUUUUAAAAGAUGGCUCUGCUAUCACUUCUGGAUGGACCCGCGGCGUAUUAGCUAGUUGGUGAGGUAAAGGCUCACCAAGGCAGUGAUACGUAGCCGACCUGAGAGGGUAAUCGGCCACAUUGGGACUGAGACACGGCCCAGACUCCUACGGGAGGCAGCAGUAGGGAAUCUUCCACAAUGGACGCAAGUCUGAUGGAGCAACGCCGCGUGAGUGAAGAAGGGUUUCGGCUCGUAAAGCUCUGUUGUUAAAGAAGAACGUGGGUAAGAGUAACUGUUUACCCAGUGACGGUAUUUAACCAGAAAGCCACGGCUAACUACGUGCCAGCAGCCGCGGUAAUACGUAGGUGGCAAGCGUUAUCCGGAUUUAUUGGGCGUAAAGCGAGCGCAGGCGGUCUUUUAAGUCUAAUGUGAAAGCCUUCGGCUCAACCGAAGAAGUGCAUUGGAAACUGGGAGACUUGAGUGCAGAAGAGGACAGUGGAACUCCAUGUGUAGCGGUGAAAUGCGUAGAUAUAUGGAAGAACACCAGUGGCGAAGGCGGCUGUCUGGUCUGCAACUGACGCUGAGGCUCGAAAGCAUGGGUAGCGAACAGGAUUAGAUACCCUGGUAGUCCAUGCCGUAAACGAUGAUUACUAAGUGUUGGAGGGUUUCCGCCCUUCAGUGCUGCAGCUAACGCAUUAAGUAAUCCGCCUGGGGAGUACGACCGCAAGGUUGAAACUCAAAAGAAUUGACGGGGGCCCGCACAAGCGGUGGAGCAUGUGGUUUAAUUCGAAGCUACGCGAAGAACCUUACCAGGUCUUGACAUCUUCUGACAGUCUAAGAGAUUAGAGGUUCCCUUCGGGGACAGAAUGACAGGUGGUGCAUGGUUGUCGUCAGCUCGUGUCGUGAGAUGUUGGGUUAAGUCCCGCAACGAGCGCAACCCUUAUUACUAGUUGCCAGCAUUAAGUUGGGCACUCUAGUGAGACUGCCGGUGACAAACCGGAGGAAGGUGGGGACGACGUCAAAUCAUCAUGCCCCUUAUGACCUGGGCUACACACGUGCUACAAUGGAUGGUACAACGAGUCGCGAGACCGCGAGGUUAAGCUAAUCUCUUAAAACCAUUCUCAGUUCGGACUGUAGGCUGCAACUCGCCUACACGAAGUCGGAAUCGCUAGUAAUCGCGGAUCAGCAUGCCGCGGUGAAUACGUUCCCGGGCCUUGUACACACCGCCCGUCACACCAUGAGAGUUUGUAACAUCCAAAGCCGGUGGGGUAACC